UUGUAAGUGAUUUUUAAGAAAACUUGCUCAUUCAACAAAAAGAAAUGCUAACACAAAUAAAGAAACUUUUGAAACAAAAAAAAAAUUAUUAAGGUAAAAUUGUCUGCACCCCUGCCUCGAGUUCCUGGCUACACCAAUGCUACUUACAUUUAGUGAUGCAAAAGAGAACGACAUUGAUGAACUACCUUGUGUUGAAUUUUACAUUGUUGAUGAAGGAGAAACCUUGGAAAGCAUAGGGAAGAAGUGCAAUGAUCCAUAUAUCUUGUUAUGGAAUCCGCUUAUUCGAGACGCUGAAGAUAUUGUUC
rnacentral:lncRNA from 1 species